rnacentral:rRNA from 1 species
UUGUGCGAAGGUAGCAUAAUCAUUAGUCUUUUAAUUGGAGGCUCGUAUGAAUGGUUGGACAAAAAGCAAACUGUCUCAAUUAUAUUUAUUGAAUUUAACUUUUAAGUGAAAAGGCUUAAAUAAAUUAAGGGGACGAUAAGACCCUAUAAAGCUUUACAAUAAGUUACCUAUAUUAUAAAUUGUUAGUAUAACUUGAGUUUAGGUAACGUUUGUUGCGUUGGGGCGACGAGAAUAUAAUAAGUAACUGUUCUUAAGUUAUUUAAUGACAGAAAUUUCUGGAAAAUUAAUGAUCCUCUACUAGAGAUCAUAAGAUUAAGUUACUUUAGGGAUAACAGCGUAAUCUCUUUGAGA